CUGGAUCGUCUAUUCUAAAUAAAACCAGACAUGGCAAGAAAUGAUGUCAACCGACGUGUUAAUUACUAGCCUUGCCCCCCGCGGCGCCGGCUUGUUAUUUAGCGUGGUAUCACGGAGGGGACUUGUUAUGAUACCUAUUGUUUUUACUCGGUGGUGCGUGUAACCAGGACUCCGGUUUUAUGGCCAACACAUGGACUGAAAGAAUGUGUUACGUAACGAGAUUAGCGGCUUUUACUGGGAGGAACUCCACAGAGAGGUGUCUGCUUCCGGUCAUUUAUGAACAACAGGAAGUAACCCGUCUCCGAAGCGAUUCCUGCUAAUAACGUAAUGGGAAGAUACAAAAAGAGGCCUGUUAAGCCUUUACCAAUAACGAAAGAGGAAAGUUGUUUCCCCGUCUUGACACCUAGAAGAUCCAGUUCUGGCAAAAGGCUGUGUAAUCGUCGUACCUCAGACUUUACAAAUUGCACAAAUAAAUGUUUCCUCAUCCAUUUAAGAAAGCAUCUUCCAUAUCAACACCUAUAGAUGUAAAUCCUACAUCCAACAAGAGAUUUCCAACACCACCACAGCAGAGAUCAUCACAGAAGAAAGGAGAAAAGCGAUUUAGGAAGAGGUUGUCAUUCGCAUCUCAGAGUGUAAAUGACAAUGAUGAUAAUCAUACAUUUCAAUUGUUAGAUGAACCGUCCCUUGACGCAGACAUAUAUACUGAUGAUAUAACAGAAACAAUGUCACUCUUCAGAAGCAGUGUUCAAAAUGGCUUUUGUUCCACAAAACCCCCAAAACAAAACAUUUCCUAUGUAUUAUUUAAAGAUACGCUAAAAUGGCACGGUCACGGUAAUUCAUCCUACAUGAGGUAUUCUGACGCCAACAAGGACUUGUUUUGGACAGGAACCUUUUUUGGGAGGUCAGUUUAUCAGAUUCAUGAGAGGGUUUUCUCGCCGAGAUAUAUACUGGACCACCUCAAGGAGUUCAACCUGCACGUGCCAACUACAAGGUGGAUGAUGGAAAGAUACUUCCUUCUUUAUGACUUUGAAUCAAGGACAAAUGCUCAUGUGUUCAGAUGUUACAUGCAAUUAAAAUCUACACAUAAACUAAGUUUCAACUAUUCAAAUGCGUUCCAAUUUCUAAAAUACCCUAAAAAACA